UUUUAUUUUUGAAAUGGGGUUUUAUUAUGUAGCUCUGCCUUCCUUGGAACUCUUUAUAUAGACCAGGCUGGCCUCAAACUGAGAGAUCUCCCUGCAUCUGUCUCCCAGAUGCUGGGAUAAAAGGUCUGUGGGACCAAGCCUGACUUGGCUCUCAGACAUGAUUUCUUUUCUUUAUUUGGCAUGCUGGGGUGGUCUUCUCUAAAAUCAUCUUCUGACAAAUAAACAGGGCUCAUCUCUUUCCUAAACAGUUCUCAAUUUCUUUGAGCAGCAGGUGUGUGUAGCUCAUGUAGACUCCACCUUUGUUGUGGAUAGCCCCAGGUUGCUUCAUUUUGAUGCUAAUUCUGCUCUCCUGGGAGGGGCUGCAAAUGUGGAAUUAGACAAGUACUCAAGUGAAGUCUUGCCUACCUUCUCCCCCACCUUAAUUUGUAAAAUAAAGGCUAGAGCUGGUGACUGGGCAGAAAAAGGGAAGGGGGAACUAAAAGUUGGGAAAAGACAUAGAGAGGGGGGACUGUGAUGUAGGAGGAGGAGGUGGAAGUAAAGUGGAGCUGAAGCACUUGGCCUGGAGAAACCUCAAGUUACAAGAGAUAUCAUAGAUGGGGAAUACAGUAGUGUAGUGGUAGAUCUGCCCAAUCUAGGCACGCAGCUAGUACUCAUAUUAAUUAGGUUGUAUUUUCUUUGCUAAGUCUUAUUUGGGUUGGAGAUUUAUCACAACAAAAUGGUACCUAACAUAUGAUUAUAACUCAACUAACCUGAGAUAAAAAUUCACCCCCACCCUUCCCCAAAUAUAGCUCAGGCAGCAAUCUAGGCUGCAGUGGAUUGAAAGCUGACUGGGUCUGAGGGGCCUACAGAGAACAGCAGAGAAGCUCCCUCCACCAACUCCCAGACAGAGAGUUAUGGCCAGGGGCAGCACCCCAGACUGGAGCUGGGCUUGAGCAGCACCUUAUAAGAAUUGCAUGGAGGGACAGGAGGCCCUGGAACACAACUGGCUUUGAGGUAGGUGUAGGGCAGACACACUGAACUGACCUGAACAUCUUUGCCCAAGAGAGUCUGUGUUUGCUUCCCCAUAUCUGCCACCCCCUCCACCAUCCUGUGUCUAGGACAGCUGAAGGAAGAUGAAAUAUUGUAACUUGUGAGUUGUUUAGGAGCCCACUGCCCAGGCCUGAGACUGAGAACAAAGCAGAACAGCCCCCAGGCAUGCCAGGGCAGGGCUGUUUUUAAGGCAUUCCUAAGAGCACCUUGACUGUAAAGAUAAAAAGGUAUGCAAGGACCAGCAGGGCUAUAUUAUCUAAGUCAACACCAUCUGGCCGGAACCUCCCCUCUGUCUAUUGCCCCUUGACUGGGGUAAAGUCAUACAUCAACUGGUUGCUAUGUGAACAAAGAUAAGCCCACAGGAACAAAGUCCUGAUGCCCUGUGAUCUUUCUGUUAAUGUUUAAAUAAGCCAAUAGUGUGUCGCUAUGCUGAAUUCCACACCCCUAAGCCCCUUACCCCAUAAAAACCCCUAGCUUUCAAGCCUCAUGGCUGACAUCCAUUAUCUCCUGUGUGGGAUGCAUGUCGGUCCAGAGCUCCAUAAUUAAACGUCCUCAUGUAAUUACAUC
rnacentral:lncRNA from 1 species